CUCCAGAAGCUGGUGGCCUUAAUAAAAUGAGACAAUGCUAUGUUGUUGCAUAACCUGAACUUCAAAUUCAAUUUCAGUUAUAGGGGAACAGAAGUGGUGCAGAGCUAUUUCGUGUAUAAGGCCAUCUGAAUGGUGAAGGUUUCACGGGCCAUGUUGAACUGGGCUUGAACUGCAUUUCUCUCUCCCAUAUCAAUCACAUAAACAUGGAAUAAAUUUCAAGGGCAUUAAGCACACAGAAGGUGACGUUUGCAAUCACAGUAAAUAUGCCGGUCCUCUGGUUUCAGUUCCACCUUGAUAUGGUUUGCUUUCCUGCCCUAUUUGGUUCUGCCAGUUUGUGAAUUAAACUGCUGCCUCCAGGGGUAAUUAGAGCAGGAACUGUUGGCAUUAAUUUGAUUUUGAAGAGUCCAUGAUUUCAGAGUUUGUUUUAAUCCCCUAGUUUUCUUCAUCCUCAAGAACAAAACUAAUCUGAAUUUGCCUGGAGAGGUUCCAGAACUCCUCUCACUGUGACUUUCUUCCCUGGUCACCUCAAGGGUGAAGCCCUGAAGUGGUGCUAGACACAUAAACGUUGUACAGUCAGAGCUGCAUCUCUUCUAGGGAUGGGUAAACUGCUAUGGAAAAAUAAGAACUAGCCAAACCAAACCUCAGCCCAAACACUGACAUCAACCCUAACAUUUUUGAAGGUAGCCUAAGAAAAAUGAAGAUGUCAUGAUUAUGGAGGAAAAGUUUGGAUUGGACAUUAAGAGUCCUGUUCGCAAGCAGAAUUUCUGUGGCCUUCACAUUGUCAAGGAUGAUGACCCAGCUGCAGUGGGAGGUGGCUACAGCAUUGAAAACACUAAGACAAGAAAAGAAAUCAUCAGUUGCCCUCUCCUUUCAAUGCUUUCCACCUUGCAGUACAGCCUUUGAGGUAUUCUGUUUUCAACUUUUCUCGUAGUGAUUUGUGCUGUGUUUGUCUUUGUGCAUAAUUCUUA
rnacentral:lncRNA from 1 species